rnacentral:rRNA from 1 species
GAUGAACGCUGGCGGCGUGCCUAACACAUGCAAGUCGAACGAAGCACUGAGACUUCGGUUUUUGUGCUUAGUGGCGGACGGGUGAGUAACGCGUGAGCAAUCUGCCUUUCAGAGGGGGAUAACGAUUGGAAACGAUCGCUAAUACCGCAUAACGUAUUCGGAUGGCAUCAUCUGAAUACCAAAGGAGCAAUCCGCUGAAAGAUGAGCUCGCGUCUGAUUAGAUAGUUGGUGAGGUAACGGCCCACCAAGUCGACGAUCAGUAGCCGGACUGAGAGGUUGAACGGCCACAUUGGGACUGAGACACGGCCCAGACUCCUACGGGAGGCAGCAGUGGGGAAUAUUGCGCAAUGGGGGAAACCCUGACGCAGCAACGCCGCGUGAUUGAAGAAGGUCUUCGGAUUGUAAAGAUCUUUUAUCAAGGACGAAGAAAGUGACGGUACUUGAUGAAUAAGCUCC